GACGAACGCUGGCGGCGUGCCUAAUACAUGCAAGUCGAACGCUUCUUUCCUCCCGAGUGCUUGCACUCAAUUGGAAAGAGGAGUGGCGGACGGGUGAGUAACACGUGGGUAACCUACCCAUCAGAGGGGGAUAACACUUGGAAACAGGUGCUAAUACCGCAUAACAGUUUAUGCCGCAUGGCAUAAGAGUGAAAGGCGCUUUCGGGUGUCGCUGAUGGAUGGACCCGCGGUGCAUUAGCUAGUUGGUGAGGUAACGGCUCCAAGGCCACGAUGCAUAGCCGACCUGAGAGGGUGAUCGGCCACACUGGGACUGAGACACGGCCCAGACUCCUACGGGAGGCAGCAGUAGGGAAUCUUCGGCAAUGGACGAAAGUCUGACCGAGCAACGCCGCGUGAGUGAAGAAGGUUUUCGGAUCGUAAAACUCUGUUGUUAGAGAAGAACAAGGACGUAAGUAACUGAACGUCCCCUGACGGUAUCUAACCAGAAAGCCACGGCUAACUACGUG
rnacentral:rRNA from 1 species